AUUGAACGCUGGCGGCAGGCCUAACACAUGCAAGUCGAACGAGUGGCGGACGGGUGGGUAAUGUCUGGGAACCUGCCUGAUGGAGGGGGAUGAGUACUGGAAACGGUAGCUAAUACCGCAUACCAUCAGAUGUGCCCAGAGGGGAUUAGCUAGGUGGUGGGGUAAUGGCUCACCAAGGCGACGAUCCCUAGCUGGGCUGAGAGGAUGACCAGCCACACUGGAACUGAUACACGGUCCAGACUCCUACGGGAGGCAGCAGUGGGGAAUAUUGCACAAUGGGCGCAAGCCUGAUGCAGCCAUGCCGCGUGUAUGAAGAAGGCCUUCGGGUUGUAAAGUACUUUCAGCGGGGAGGCGUUACCCGAAGAAGAAGCACCGGCUAACUCCGUGCCAGCAGCCGCGGUAAUUC
rnacentral:rRNA from 1 species